CCAGAUGCAUAGCCACAUUAGCAGCGCUGUCCUCAGUAUUAUUUAAAUUAAUCUAUAAACGCCAAUGAAUAAUUAAAAUCGGAUUCAAAUGAAAAAUGAUCUCGCCUCGUAGUUAAAUUGUUCUUUAUAAAUGAAGUUACUACGUUCGAUUCAGAAAUCAGUUUGUCUUCGAAAGUGCUUACAUCGAAAUGUUGCUGAUUAAAUUGUUAUUAAAUUUUGCAUUGAUUGCAUUUGUAUUUUGUUUACCAUCAGCAUCAGUUGGUGGUAAUAAUUUGGAACUUACAACUGAUUUUCAAGAGUCUAGAGAAAAUAACUAUGAAUCCACAGUCGACAGACAAAAACGUCAGUUUAAAUGUCCUUUGAAGCGAAUUUCAUUAAGAGGUCGAAAUGUCUACGUUCCAAUAUGUUAAAAUGGAAACUUCGAUAAAGUGAUAUGAGUGUAUGGCCUAAGUUCAAUAUUUGAAUAGUUUAAAUUUAAUGUUUUAAUAAAAACUAAAAUUGGAAGUAAAUUAAUAAAAUAAAUACUUUUCUUUUUGGGUGUUGCUUGUUCAAGUAGAA